UACAUGACGCAUGCGGUGCGUCACAUUUGUGUCAUAUACAUGACGCAUGCGGUGUGUCGCCUUUGUAUCUUAUACAUGACGCACGCGGUGCGUCGCCUUUGUAUCCCAUACAUGACGCAUGCGGUGCGUCGCCUUUGUAUCGUAUACAUGACGCAUGCGGUGCGUCGCCCUUGUAUACUAUACGAGACGCAUGCGGUGCGUCAUCCUUGUAUACAAUACGAGACGCAUACGAUGCGUCCUUCGUUAGAUCGCAUAAAUAGCACAAGACGCACAGGGUGCGUCGCCGGUGUUGAACACGCAAAGUUAUGGCUCGUGAUGAAGAUAACGAGUUACGGAAGAGAACGUGCUCGUUCUGUGUUACGCAACAGGCCGUUAUCGUAAUUCCACUAUCGUUUCAACAUUUUUUUUUUCCAGAAAAGUAAUGUAUACUUAAGCGCCAAGCUUCGAUGAUCGAUCGGGAUAACGACAUUUCGAGAGAACCUCGACCAGUUCGUACCGUAGGCGGUGCUCUACAUUUUCACCAAGGCUCCCGUUCAGCGUCAGACUUUCCUGACACGUUCCUUGUCAGGUUUCCCGACUUUGCGUUAUGUGAUGCAAUCACGCGCGGUACACGUUUCGCCUCCAUCUCACGAGACGGAUGAUGAACGACACCAGCACUUCGUCACUUCACGUGCCCGAUGUCUCCGGUUUCCUGAUUAAUUUCAGCCGUUUCUCCGUAACCGAGGAGUUCAGUCGUAACCCUUUCGUUACUACAAGUGCGAUACAAAGUGUGCAAUAUUUUUGGGGAGGCUGGAAAUAGUCGUGCUCGAGGCUUCGCGUGUGUCAACGUUGAACCAUCGAGUGGUGUUAUUCGGUGUUCGUUAUAGAUUUAAAAAGAACUGUAUUUAAAUUUAAAAAAUUCCAGUCAGAGAUAUAAAUGCUCGAGUAGCGCAGAAUUAAAAUUAGCAAAGUAAUAGCAAUAGAGUUUGUCUUAUAUAACAAGGAAUCUAUAGCAGCGAAUCUCCAUGAGAAACACACCAUCUUGUCAUAAGAUGAAAUAACAGAUCGUUUCACAGAAGUGUAAUUGAACUUUUCAGCGAAUGGAAAUUCAAACCUGCGAAUCACGUAGAAAGGAGGACGUUUCUCAAACACCUUUGGGAAUUAUAGAAGAAAACACGGUUGGAGAAUGAUAAGAAGGAAACACAAUGCCAAAAUACAAUUAUUGUUAUAAAUCAUCGAUGGUGACACUUCGCGAGUUCGAUACAUUUAUCGCGAUUCGAAGGGAUGAAGGUUCAACCGGCGUCCAGCAGCAUGGUUCCGCGUGUUCUUCGGACGAAGGGCGAAGCGAAAUGGAGGAAACGGAAGUGAAUGCCGUGCUGCUGUACGAUACACUGGCGGUUGGCUUCGAUUUUCCUGCGACUGUGCAGCUGAAACGAUUUUACGUCGACCCCUGCCCACCCUCCUGCGCGCGCUUUCCACCCCCUCUUUACACCUAUUCUUCAUUCCUCCUUUGCAUUUUUUUUUUUCUUUAAUCGUUUUUCAGUCAUUUAACUCAAUAUAAUUUCAUUCUUUUUCAUAGCUGUUGAUCACUAUACAACGAUUGAUUCUUCUUCUAAAAAAGUAGGAAAUAUAAUAUGUUUUUCUCGAUUUUCGGAUGGCGGACCAUGGAGAGAGACCUCCAAGACGGCGGACCAUGGAGAGAGUCACAAUUCUAAU